CCACCUACGGGAGGCAGCAGUGAGGAAUAUUGGUCAAUGGCCGGAAGGCUGAACCAGCCAAGUCGCGUGAGGGACGACUGCCCUAUGGGUUGUAAACCUCUUUUAUAAGGGAAGAAUAAAUGCUACGUGUAGCAUGAUGCCUGUACCUUAUGAAAAAGCAUCGGCUAACUCCGUGCCAGCAGCCGCGGUAAUACGGAGGAUGCGAGCGUUAUCCGGAUUUAUUGGGUUUAAAGGGUGCGCAGGCGGUCUGUUAAGUCAGCGGUCAAAGCCCGGGGC
rnacentral:rRNA from 1 species